rnacentral:lncRNA from 1 species
CCUUCUAUGGUAUCCGAUUACAUCUCUGUUUCUUUCUUUGUAUCAUCAGAUUCUCUCAACUGCGUAAUUUGUGCGUUUUCUUGUUUGAAAGGAGUGGUCAUGGUGUAAUUUAUUGUAAAGUUAGGGUUUUAUUUUGGUAGGGUGUGUGUGUUGUGGGGGGGGGGGGGAUUGUAUUGUUAGAUCGUGCUAGGGUUUCUGAAUUUCAGAAAUUGCUAAAAUUUGGAGGAUCGUGAUUCUUGUAGUAAAAGGCCCAAAGUUAACUCCAUUUCGCUGUAAGACCUGCUUCUGCGCCUUCAUUUGUAGUCUUUACCAUUAUUUUUGUUUGAAUUAGUCAAAUUAUUGAAUAUUAGAGUGAAACUGGCCAAAAUGCAUAAUGAAUAAGGAGGCAUAGUUGAUGUUAUAGGGCCGACUCGAUAAUUACAGAGAUUCAAGAGUCCUCAAAUGCAUGCUUUUGGGUUGUUAUGUACAUUUGUAAUUAAAGUCGAGCCUGUUUCGGAGCAUUGAGUUUUGAGGAAGGUACAUUUUUGCAUAGUUAUUCCAGGAGAAAGAAUAUAACACUGUAGAAAUUUUGUGAAAGCAUGUUACUUAAUAUUUGGUAGAAUUAUGUUUAAAGCUAUUUGUAUUAUGGAUUUUCAAAAUGCAAAGUAAAAUUUAACUCUUUAAUUUGAUAAUAGACGAACUAUCAUUUGAAGUAAGGCCCAAAUUCAGGUUUAAAGACGAGCUUGUAAUAACGUAUUUUUCCAGUCUAAAAGCUCUUAUCUGCUGCAUUCCUAAAAGAUGCCAAGUGAGCCAACAUGCCUUUAGGUUAAAAAAAGUUUUACUAUUUUAUAUUUUCCUAUGUUAGUGCGGGGUGUGGGAGGGUCCAUUUGUAGUUGUCACAGUUUUUGGUGAUAACUUUAAGGGAAGUCAAAGAAGCUUCUUAUAUAAUAGCGAGUUAUGUUACACCAGUCCUUGGUCAAAACAAAGGUUUAUACACCUGCCUGGUUUGACGUAACAGACAUGAAGGACGGUUAGUUAAAACAAAUAGAUAUUAUUUUAUAUUACUUCUUGUUCUCCUCAUUCUCAAAAUAUUAAUAUUUGCUUAAGGUUGAAAUCUUUGAAUACUUAUCUGUUACUCAGCAUUAAUGAAAUCGUUUUUACAAUUGUUACGUUUGUUUCUUACAAUUUUGUAUUACUUUAUUCCGUAAUUCUUGGUUGCAGAGAUGUUUAUUUCUCUAUUGUUUUGUCACGCCCCAAAACCGAGGAGCGCGACCGGCGCUCAACCGAGUGAACCCGACCGAGCAAGCCUGGUAGAUUUUCUUCUACCCAACUCAUCCAUGAAUGGAGAUAAUACAUAUUGUCAUUAAUUAGACAAAAAUGUGUUCAUGUCCACAAUACCAAUUCAUUACCAAUAGUUCCAUCAUUUUUAAUGUCUUAAAUAGAACAAGUAAUACAACCACAACAUAACAUAGUUUAUCUUUCCCAGCACCAAUACACAACCCACACUAUGUCUACAGAGCCUCUAAAAUACUAAAGAGUACAAUGGUAGUGCCGGCAAAAAGGCUCCGGCUAUACCUCAAAAUACGAUAACACAUACGAAACAAAAGAUGUACAACCCCGGAAUGAGAUGUGGCUCACCAAGUCAGCUGGGGAGAAUGAGCACCGCUAUCACUGGUCAAUAUCCUCCGCUGUGGAACCACCUGCAUCCAUGAAAGAUGCAGCGCCCCCGACAAAAGGGACGUUAGUACAUGUCGAAUAGUCCUAGCAUGAAAACCAAACACCAAUUAAAGAAUUCAAAAAUACAAUAUAAAUAUGAUGAACCAGGGCGACACUAGAAUGGCAUAGUUAACUGUUUAAACCAAAGCAAGAUUAUCAAGAGUUGUCAUUAACAUAUAUAGAAUUUAAGAUGAGAUCCUCUAUAACCGUUCCCACACAAAGCGGUCCCGCCGCCUCACCCUAAUGUAUACGGGUGGAGGUGUAAACACAAUACCAAAACUCUACUAAAGCGGCCCUGUCGCCUCACCCCAAUGUAUGCGGGUGGAGGUAUAACCACAAUACCAAAAACCUACACAAAGCGGCUAUGCCGCCUCAUCCCAAUACAUGCGGGUGGAAAUGCAUCAACGAUACCAAUACCUACACAAAGCGGCCUUGCCGCCUCACACCAAUAUGUAUAUGUGGGUGGUGGUGCAACAACAAUACCAAAAUCAUACACAAAGCGGCUCUUCCGCCUCACCCCAAUAUAUGCGGGUGGAAGUGUAACCCCAAUCACAAUCUCUACACAAUUUGGCAUAAUAGUUUUCCACAUAAAUCGUGACUUGGAAUCAUAAUACGUAGAUACACAAUCCAUAGUUUGGAAUACAUCCUCAAUUUAUAAUACAAUAUGAUAAGAGCAUUUGAAACACGAAAUGAAAAUAUAUCUUUGUCACAAAACUUAUUCGGAAUACUCAACUUGUAAUAAAUAUCUUGGAACUUACAAGAAUAUUGGGGUUCCAAUUCUUAAAGAAGAGUUUAGCCAACAUACCUCAAUGGAGCUUCCUCAAACUCUAAAUUGUUCCGGAAUUCUUAGCAACUUCAAUCUAUUUUAGAAAUAUAACAAAUUGAACCAAAAUUAGGAAGAUGUUCAUGGUUCUAGCUCAUUUGAGCAUUUUAUCAAACACUAGGUGUGCAUUAAAGUUUCAAGGUCCUUUUAUGGAGGAUUCCAUCAUACCACAACCCAAUCUUUACCAUUUUUAGCUCAACAAUCUUCCUACACCCUUUGAUAACAAAUGCAUGUAAAAUAAACAACUCUCAUGACCAAAAAUUAUUUUGCUAAUUACCCAUUUCUAGACAAAAUUCGAAAUUGAGGGUUAGGAUGUAGAAUCUUACAUCUAGAAUGAAGACCUAGUGAUUUUCCCUUCUUAAUCUUCCUAAAUUUGAUCAAGAAUUGAAGAACAAUUAUUGAGGAACACCUUCUCAUUCUAGGGCACUCUCUCUCACUCUAAAAUGUCAUAUUUUAGCUCAAAAAUGACCCAAAGCGUGUAUUGAACGAAGUAGGGUCGGGUUUUGAAAACCCAAAAAUGAAGCUCCGGAACAAGGUCUGCGAUCGCAUAAUCGAUAUGCGGACCGCAUAUCGGCCGCAUAAUUGGUGUCCAAAGCUGGCAAAAAUCUGCCUGGGUCUGCGGUCGCAUGGCAUCCAAACUGCCCCUCUCCUGCCUCACACUGCGGCCAUUAUGCGGUCCGCAGAGUGAUUCUGCGGUCGCAUAAUGGACCGCAGAAACGUAUUUCUCUGCCAAAAUUUUUUCCUUUAUCCCUCAGUGCAUUGUUCAACCCAAAAAGUCCGAUCCGGCACCACGAAACAUUAUAUUUCUUUUUUCAAAAUUUUACGGGGCCUUACAUGUCUAUUCAGUGAUUCUUUGCAGCUAUUGCGGCUACAAUGUUGUUCGCUUACUGACCAUGAAUUUUAUAAUGUUCAAAAUUGUAGAACUGACCCCAAUUGCUACUUGGGAGCGACAAAUUUUAAUAUUGAUGGACUCUGAACAAACAAACAAGUGUCCUUACUCUUGAAAGAAAUGUCUUGAUAGGAAUGUUAGACGGCGUGAACAAUAUAAACUUAA